AGCGAACGCUGGCGGCAGGCUUAACACAUGCAAGUCGAGCGGGCACUUCGGUGUCAGCGGCAGACGGGUGAGUAACACAUGGGAACGUACCCUUUGGUUCGGAAUAACGCUGGGAAACUAGCGCUAAUACCGGAUACGCCCUUUUGGGGAAAGGCUUGCUGCCGAAGGAUCGGCCCGCGUCUGAUUAGCUAGUUGGUGGGGUAAUGGCCUACCAAGGCGACGAUCAGUAGCUGGUCUGAGAGGAUGAUCAGCCACACUGGGACUGAGACACGGCCCAGACUCCUACGGGAGGCAGCAGUGGGGAAUAUUGGACAAUGGGCGCAAGCCUGAUCCAGCCAUGCCGCGUGAGUGAUGAAGGCCUUAGGGUUGUAAAGCUCUUUUGUCCGGGACGAUAAUGACGGUACCGGAAGAAUAAGCCCCGGCUAACUUCGUG
rnacentral:rRNA from 1 species